rnacentral:rRNA from 1 species
GAUGAACGCUGGCGGCGUGCCUAAUACAUGCAAGUCGAGCGAACAGACGAGGAGCUUGCUCCUCUGACGUUAUCGGCGGACGGGUGAGUAACACGUGGAUAACCUACCUAUAAGACUGGGAUAACUUCGGGAAACCGGAGCUAAUACCGGAUAAUAUAUUGAACCGCAUUGUGCAAUAGUUAAAGACGGUUUUGCUGUCACUUAUAGAUGGCUACGCGCCGCAUUAGUUAGUUGGUAAGGUACCGGCUUACCAAGGCAGCGAUUUAUAGCCGACCCAAGCGGGUGAUCGGCAACUGGGGAACUAAGAUGCGGUGCAGCACCCGACGGGAGGCAGCAGCAGGAAAUCUACGGCAAGGAGCGAAAGCGUGACGGAGCAACGCGGCGUGAGCGAUGACGGGCUACGGAUCGUAAAACACUGUUAUCAGGGAAGAACAAAUGUGUAACUAACGAUGAACGUCUUGACGGUACAGAAUCAGAAAGCCACGGCUACCUCCGU